rnacentral:pre_miRNA from 1 species
AAUGUACUCCCUCCGUCCCAAAAUUCUUGUCUUACAUUUGUCUAGAUACGGAUGUACCUAAUACUAAAACAUGACUUGAUACAUCCGUAUUUGGACAAAUCUAAGACAAGAAUUUUGGGACGGAGGGAGUAAUUA